rnacentral:pre_miRNA from 1 species
CAACUACUCCCUCUGUCCCAAAUUUCUUGUCUUAGAUUUGUCCAGAUACAGAUGUAUCUAAUACUAAAAUGUGACUUGAUACAUCCGUAUCUAGACAAAUCUAAGACAAUAAUUUUGGGACGGAGGGAGUACUUU